CCUACGGGAGACUGCAGUGAGGAAUAUUGGUCAAUGGGCGUAAGCCUGAACCAGCCAAGUCGCGUGAGGGAUGAAGGUUCUAUGGAUCGUAAACCUCUUUUGUCAGGGAACAAAGGCGGGGACUAGUCCCCGGAUGAGGGUACCUGAAGAAAAAGCAUCGGCUAACUCCGUGCCAGCAGCCGCGGUAAUACGGAGGAUGCGAGCGUUAUCCGGAUUUAUUGGGUUUAAAGGGUGCGCAGGCGGCCUGUUAAGUCAGCGGUAAAAGCCCGGGGCUCAACCCCGGCGAGCCUUUGAAACUGGCGGGCUGGAUUUGGAGAGAAGUACGCGGAAUGCGCGGUGUAGCGGUGAAAUGCUUAGAUAUCGCGCAGAACCCCGAUUGCGAAGGCAGCGUACCGGCUCCACACUGACGCUGAGGCACGAAAGCGUGGGUAUCGAACAGGAUUAGAAACCCGGGUAGUC
rnacentral:rRNA from 1 species